rnacentral:rRNA from 1 species
GACGGAGGGUGCGAGCGUUAUUCGGAUUUAUUGGGCGUAAAGAGCGUGUAGGCGGUCGAUCAAGUCUGAUGUGAAAGCCCGGGGCUUAACCUCGGAAGGGCGUUGGAAACUGGUCGACUUGAGUUCGGGAGAGGAAAGCGGAAUUCCGGGUGUAGAGGUGAAAUUCGUAGAUAUCCGGAGGAACACCGGUGGCGAAGGCGGCUUUCUGGACCGAAACUGACGCUGAGACGCGAAAGCGUGGGGAGCAAAC